AGUAAAUACACAGAACAGGAUCAGACCCAGCACUGAUCUCUUCAUUCAGCUGAGACUGCAUGAGCAAAAUGGAGAUGAUGAACUCAUGGAGAGGUUCACAAACGGUGCCACUCCACUAGUCAGUCACAGUGAGUUGUGCCAAAACCAUCAUCUCCAGGACACAAGCAAACAUCUCCUGCACUGAGGACGUGGGACUCCAAAACUUGUGAUCAGUGGUGCUUCAAGCGAGAUGCAUCAAACAACUUCUUUUGGCUUCAGUGCAAGAGAUGGCUCCAAUUUGCUGUGUAGAGGAGGACAAUAUACUUGCAAACUCACUAAGCUGCUUUAAGGAUUGAAAGUCUCAACAACCAAAAUUGGACCCAAGAUUUCUGUGUGCUUUCAGUGAUGACAUGUCUCUCUCAGCCUGAGUUCUUCAACCGUAUUCACAGCUAACAGUGAAUCAACAAUGGACCUUGAGCUCCCAGCCAAGUGUUACUUUUUUACAAAGCUGGAAUUGAGACUGCCAGCCAAGUAUUGCAAACCUCUGACACAGAACAAGUGGGUGCUAAUUGUUCUGAGAGCCAUCGGAGCUGCACUCUGCUUGUGGAGAAAGAAAGCCACAGGAAAUGAAGCAUUUUCUAGCAGCACAGAUGAUCCUAAGAGGCAUCAUUAAGUGCAGCUCAGCAGCAUUCUCCAUGUGCAGACAGUCUCAUGCAUCAGAGGAAGAUUUAACACCACCUGUCACCCUUAACAGUGACAGUGCACUCUUCAGUCUUCUCAACAUCCCAGCAAUCAUCUCCUACACAGGCUAACAAAAGAUAAUCUCUCCAGCAUUGUCACACUCCAGUAAUGGAAAAAAACCUAACAUUCACUGGAAUAUUCCCUGGAUGCAGACUAAAGCUACUUUUGGAAACACCGGUCAGCUUCAGGCCACAACCACUCUCAGGUCUUUGAGAGAAGGCUACCCACCAGGCACCUGAAGCAUUUGAGUGCUUCCUAUAGGUGCUGUGCUCACAGGCACGGUUAUGCACAGUGCCAGCGUUACUUUGCAUUUGACCACUUCAAUUGUUUGCAGAGGAGAGACUGCGCUGAGAAGAGGAGGGAAGCCAGCCCACACACACAGCAGCACUGGCUGACUGUUAUCAGCAAGACAAGGCAUAGUUGCCAUGGUAUCAAAAUGGAGGUAUAACGCAGUAAUCUAAAUGAAGGCCACACUUACCAGAUGGGGACAUGUACUCGGCAUUUGCCCUGCAAACCACUCGGAUUGGCAGAUUGCACAUUUGCAAGAAGGCCUGGAAACAAAGAGUUAGGUUUAACAUGCAUUCAUACACCAGUGACAAACAAAUGUGUUUUCCUCAAUAUACCUGACUGUGUUUUAGCUAGUUCCUAGCACACGCUUAUGAAGUCUGCUGGCUUUACAAAUAAAGACUGGGUGAAAGAAAAACAAGAUUCCUUUUCAAUUUCCUUACAUAGCUGUUUAUUAUCCAGUCAUCGACUGGAAUUCUUUUAAUUAAGUGUCAUCUACUUUUACUCAUUUUUUCAAGACAGGCAAAGCAGCAGUAUCUGGCAAACAUAAUGAGUGCUAUGGCUGUGCAAAAUGAAGUGGCAUUUUGCCCCUCCUGAACAACAUAGUUCUUACUACUUCUGGCCAAAGCUAGCUAACCAUGUUAUGUAACAUGACAAACACAUACAGCACCUUCCCACAUUAUUUACAAUGGCUGCCAGAAGUUUUACUCUAGGAUACUGUCAGAGCACAAGUCUGCUUUGGGAAGUAUUUAUUAUCUUUAAUUUGUGUGAGUCAUGGAGAGCAUAAGUGAUUGAUUUAAUGUUUCUUUUUAUCUGCAACCUUAGAUUCAAAGCAUUCUCAGUCGGAUACUGAUUUUUAUCAGCACCUGCCAUCACUACAAAAUCCUUAGUGUGUUUCUGCUGAAAAUACCAAAACAUCAGGAAAAAUAUUUGCCAUUUGGACAGAACACAGCAAAUAAGGAACCUCUUCAUCUCUAGAGUCUCUCACAACUCAGG